rnacentral:lncRNA from 1 species
ACAAAUGCAAGUAUAUUUCAAUGUUUAAAUAUACAUACGUAUGAAACUGUUGCAUAAAAUGUGCGUAUUGUAAUAAAAGAAAAAAAAUAUUAUGAACAACUAGAGCUAUACAAUUAAAGCUAAAUUUUUUUUUUUUUUUUUUUAUAGUUAAUUUUACAUACAUUUGAAUUUUAUUAAACACAUGAAGUUGUUAAAAAAAAAAAAAAAAAAAAAUAUAUAUAUAUUUUAUUUUUUAAACAAUUUUUAAAUUUUGUUUUAUUAGUUCGAUUAUAAUAAAAUUUUUAAAUUAUAAGCCUUUUUACUCUUUCUACAUUUAAAAUUUGUAGCUAACAUUUUUUAAAUUUUAUUAUAUUUUAUUUUAUAUAUUUAAUGUCUGAUUAUAAUAAAAAUUACAAAUAAUAUACAAUUUUGUCUUUUCUUGUAUUUAAAAUUUGUAACUAAUAUUUUUUAAAUUUUAUUAUAUUUUAUUUUAUAUAUUUAACGUCUAAUUAUAAUAAAAAUUACAAAUAGUAUACAUUUUUGCAUUUUCUUAUAUUUAAAAUUUGUAACUAACACUUUUUAAAACUUUCUAUAUUUUUCCGAUACAUAAAACAAUAACUAAGUUUUGUGUCUUUUAUUUUAUAUUACAUAUAUUUUAAUCCACAUAUAUAAACUUUUUAAGUUAUUUAUGACUAAUGUAUGAACAUUACCUUAUCCAUACUUUAUAAUAUUUAUUUCAUACUUUUACUACCAUACAUGUUCUAUUUUUUUCACGUUUAUAUAUUAAAAUAGACAUAUAUUAUUUUUUACUGUCACAAAACAAUUCCUUUGAAUUAUAAUUCGAAUAAGCUUUAAUAUAUUAUAUAUAACCUUAUUUUUAUUAUACUAAUAUUUUUUUUUUUAAAAUGAAAAAUCCAAGCUAUAUUCCAGGUUAUAAAGAUAUAGAUGUUGAAACAUUGUACAGACCAUUAGAUGACUAUGAAUCUGUUAAUACUACACAAGUUAAAGAAUUUUCCUAUAACCCAAACUUUAGGCAAGAACCAUUUACGGGUCCAUAUAUCAAAGAAUAUUAUGAGAAUAGUGUGAACUAUCAAAUUAAUAAAUGUAUGAAACCAUCAACUUUUCGUCCCCUUAUGUUGUCACAUAAAGACAUGCAUAGACAAUGUAACCCAUUAGUAGCUUAUCCUUAUGGAGUACCACGAGAUGCAAUGAUAUAUGAUAAAUGCUCAAAAUGUAAAAGAAAAAAAAAAAUACAAGCAAAGGUAAAUAAGAAGAAGCACAUAAAGAAAGAGAAUGAAACAAAUGGUUCAAAUUUAAACGAAUAUAAUGAUGAUAAUAAUAACACAGGGGAUGAUAAUAAUGCAACAAAUGAUAACUCAAAUAUAAGCGAAGAAAACGAUAUUAACACAAAUGAACAGCUUCUCUUUACCAGUCCCUUAAAUAGUAACAAUAAUUCGAUUGGAAAUGAUAACUUAAAUAAUUUUCAAAACACCACUCAGAAUGAAUGCAAUCAAAACAAAAGGUUUUGCAAUCUUCGUGACCUUUAUAAAAUAGCUAUGUGCAGAAAAAAGCAGCAAUCGCUUUCUUUAAAUUCUUUUGCUACUUAUAUUGUCGAUAAUAAUGCACAAUUUACCCAUCUUAAAACUGAAGAGGAAAAUACAGCUUUACAUGAUAAUAUAGAAAACAUUAAUAGACAUAAAGCUACAAAUUUAAAUAACAUAUAUUUAACUAAGAAUGAAUGUUACAAUGGAAAGCAAUAUAAUUAUAACGAACAAGAAGAAAAAAGAGAAAAUAAAUACGGAAAAAAUGAAAAGAAAACUAAUUUAAAAAGCCAAACUGAACCAUAUUUAAACACCGAAGAAGAAAACAAUACAAAAGAACUAGACACAGAAGAUUUAUUACAUAUGUUUAAUACGCCUAAGGGUUUAAAAGGAUUAAAAAAAUUAAUUAAAGAAAAGAAAAUUAUUCUUGAUGAAAAUAAACAAGGUAAAAAUACAAGACGAAUAAAAACGUCUGAUAAUGUUAAUGUUUCCAAAAAAAAGAAAAAUAAGGAAAAAGAGAAAAGGCAUAUAGUACCAAAAAAAAAAAAAACCGUGUUUAUUAAAGACGUUGAAUUAUCACAAAGUAAGGUAGAAGAUAGUUUUACAUUACCACGAAAAAAUACCAAAAUAAAAUUUAAAAAAAGUUUUAUUGAGAAAAGUAAUAUUUCCUUAAAAAAAAAGAAUGACAAAAAAGAAUUACAUUUCAAGAAUUCUAAAAAUCAUUUAAGUAGAACUAAAUCAUUGAAAUUAAAAAAAAGUACUAUGAAUUUUACUUCUAAGAACAAUUAUGGAUUACAGAGAAGAAAAAGCAUUUUAAAAAAAACCAAAUCAAUGAUUGACGUUAAAUUAAAAAAGGAUCAAACUUUAACUUUAAGCAAAAAAAAAACAUUUUUAAAACAAAUUCCUUUAAAAGAGCUAUCAAACAUUAGUACCAUGACAAAGAAAAAUGUAUUGAACAGAAACAAAAGUAUGAUUCAUGCAGGUAAUAAAAAAAAUAAAAUUGCUCACCAAAGUUUUGGAAAAUUGCUUACUAGAUCAAAAACAAAGGUAUAUGUUGAUGAUAAAACAAAAAUUUUUAAAAAGUCCGAAGUACAGAUGGUUUCAAAAAGAUUAUUAAACCCCAGCUUACAUGUAAUGGAAGAGAUAACAAAUGCCAUAAAACAAGAAAAAAAAUAUCCUAGUGUAAAUAUAAAAUUAUGCGACAAUAAGAAACCAUCAACUUAUGAAAUGAAUCUAAGUAAGGAAGAUACUAAAAAUAAAAUACAUAAAGAAAAAAAAAGUUUAUUGUCAAACGUUAUAUCUUUAACCAAAAACAUGAAAGUAAACCCAUUAAAAAAAAAAUAUAAUGAUCAAGCAGAAGCUCUAAAUUUAUCAUUAUAAAGUGUUAAUAAUGGAAGUUAAAUAAAGAAUUUUUAAUUAUUAAUUUAUUGGAUGAG